GAUGAACGCUGGCGGCGUGCCUAAUACAUGCAAGUCGAGCGAACUGAUUAGAAGCUUGCUUCUAUGACGUUAGCGGCGGACGGGUGAGUAACACGUGGGCAACCUGCCUGUAAGACUGGGAUAACUUCGGGAAACCGAAGCUAAUACCGGAUAGGAUCUUCUCCUUCAUGGGAGAUGAUUGAAAGAUGGUUUCGGCCAUCACUUACAGAUGGGCCCGCGGUGCAUUAACUAGUUGGUGAGGUAACGGCUCACCAAGGCAACGAUGCAUAGCCGACCUGGAGGGGUGAUCGGCCACACUGGGACUGAGACACGGCCCAGACUCCUACGGGAGGCAGCAGUAGGGAAUCUUCCGCAAUGGACGAAAGUCUGACGGAGCAACGCCGCGUGAGUGAUGAAGGCUUUCGGGUCGUAAAACUCUGUUGUUAGGGAAGAAUAAGUACGAGAGUAACUGCUCGUACCUUGACGGUACCUAACCAGAAAGCCACGGCUAACUACGUGCCAGCCGCCGCGGUAAAAC
rnacentral:rRNA from 1 species